rnacentral:lncRNA from 1 species
UUAGCUACACAGAAAAAAAUAUGUAAAUAUACACUACAUGUAAACCACGUUUCACAUGUAAAUUCAGCUAAUGGAUUUUUUAAAUGUGAUGUAAACGGUUAAAUCUCAUGGAAAAAGCGAUCAUGUAAUUUAAAAUCGAAUGUAAUUAACGAUUUUGAUGUAAAUCAACUUUGUUUUUGUCAAUCUGAAAUCGCGGAAAUAAUGUAAUUUAUGAAUCUAAUGUAAACUUGCGUCAUGUAUUUUUAAAACAAAUGUAAUUUUCAAUUUCGAACUAAGUUUGCAAUUGACAACUGAACAAAACAAAACAGAUUUCAUUCUUUGGUGGGAAGUGGAGCAAGAAGUUUUCGGAUGAUGCACUUAUUGAACGCAUUUUAAUCGCCUUUUAGUAGGCAACUACGUGCUGCACUUUGUGCGCUGCACCGGUUGAAAAUCAGCGACGGGUGGAUCCCUCGUUUGCGUCAGGUCGGACGUCGGAGAGAAACGUCAAAAAUCAUCAAAAUAAACAAAUCGGAUUUUGGUGGCUGGUGAGUAAAAGUUGCAGGUGCUUGGAGUUUUUAUGCUGGUUUGCCGGAGUUUUUCUACAGGCACGGAAGAUUGCGGAAUUUCGGAAAUUGUGGAAGGUCGUUUGAUGUCAUAGCCGUCAUCCAUACAAUCGUUUUUGAGAUUUCAAAAAGGGAAGAUGAUACACUGAUCAAUGGAACAUUUGACGUGGAAGCUGGACAAGCGUUCUGGGCAAUCGCCAUCCGACAUAUUAUGAAAACUAGAUCGUGGCUUGGAAGUUUUGCCACCAAAUGACCAUGGCUGUACAGCCUAUAACUUGUAAUAGAUAAAUCCGACUAUCUCGACGGUAACGUUUUUCUGCAAACCACAGGUUUCAACCCGAUCAACACGCUCAGUGUGACCUCGAUGUCCUCGGCGGCCCAAAGCGCCGCUCAUCCCGUGCAUCCAAGACUCGAACCAAUUCUAGAAUUGUCGAACUCUACGCGAACCUUCCU